rnacentral:lncRNA from 1 species
GGGUUCAGUACAUAAAGGGAAAUUUCACCAAUCCCCUUCAGCUUUUUAUUUUAUUUAUUUUAUUUAUUUCUUCAUUUUGAUUUAUUUGCUUUUUAUUUUGGACCUCAGGUAAAAGUUCUGUAUCACAGGGUAAUGAGUGAAAUAUCCUCGCUGAAAAACCUCUGGAUAAAGGCUCUGAGCAGCCCAGGAAAGGAGGAGGAUGAAGAGAGCACAGUGGCAAAACAGCAGCUGCCUUUCUCAGGGUCACCACAGAGCUUGGAAAAGCCUCAGAGCAGCAGAUUUUAUGGUCUCACUGGGAUCUCCAGUAAUCCAAGCGAGUUCAUCCCAAAAAAACUGAUCCCACUGCUCCAGUCUGUGGUUCAGGUGCUGGAGGAAAACAGAAAAAACAAUUUAUCACCAGGUAAGAGAGAAGAGAAAGGCACUGCCACUUCCCUUAUUUUAUUCUUGCAUUAUUUCAACUUUAAACCCAGAAGAUUUUCCAUCUGA